GAUGAACGCUGGCGGCGUGCCUAAUACAUGCAAGUCGAGCGAACAGAUGAGGAGCUUGCUCCUCUGACGUUAGCGGCGGACGGGUGAGUAACACGUGGAUAACCUACCUAUAAGACUGGGAUAACUUCGGGAAACCGGAGCUAAUACCGGAUAAUAUAUUGAACCGCAUGGUUCAAUAGUGAAAGACGGUUUUGCUGUCACUUAUAGAUGGAUCCGCGCCGCAUUAGCUAGUUGGUAAGGUAUCGGCUUACCAAGGCAACGAUGCGUAGCCGACCUGAGAGGGUGAUCGGCCACACUGGAACUGAGACACGGUCCAGACUCCUACGGGAGGCAGCAGUAGGGAAUCUUCCGCAAUGGGCGAAAGCUUGACGGAGCAACGCCGCGUGAGUGAUGAAGGUCUUCGGAUCGUAAAACUCUGUUAUUAGGGAAGAACAAAUGUGUAAGUAACUAUGCACGUCUUGACGGUACCUAAUCAGAAAGCCACGGCUAACUACGUG
rnacentral:rRNA from 1 species